UUCAGGAGUGGGACAUCGUUAUCGACAGCAUGGAUAGGGAUGUUGUGUCCAAAAGAUUGAGAUCCAGAAUGGCUCAAGGGCUCAGAUCAGAAGAUGGUCCUCCAAAAGUGAAAGCAGAAGUUCACGAGCAGAGCAUUUCAGUUGCUCCAUUGCAAACACAUGCAGAAACUCCUGCAGACAAAGGUGAAGUACAUCAAACAUGCCACGGCUCUGAUCCAGCAGGAGUUUGGCGGAGACACGUUGGAGGGUCU